ensembl:lncRNA novel transcript, antisense to CYP3A4
CCUUGAAGACCAGAAAUCUGAUGCAUGUUGCCUGAAUCACCAGUGAAAAACAUACCCUUCUAAAUCCUUGGAAAGCAGGAUGUUUUCCUGAAACAAAUCUGGCUAUCAUGUGAGAUGGCUCAAAUUUAACACACGCUACACUUCAGCAGGUGGCCUGAUAGGGACUUUCAUUUGAGAAUGUGUAAAAUAACAGGUUUGUACUUGAAAUGAGUCUUUACCAAUUUAUGAUCUGGGGAAAGCAUAAUAUCAGUAAAAUAUAUUUCCAAACAGUAAUGUUUAUCCUCUGACAAUUUAUUGAAGGGAAGUAAAGUGGUAAAGUUUUAUCUCAAUAAAAUUUAUGCCGUGGCAUA